rnacentral:rRNA from 1 species
AACGAACGCUGGCGGCAUGCCUAACACAUGCAAGUCGAACGAGAAGUCCGGGCCUUGUGGCGCACGGCUGCGUAACGCGUGGGAACUUGCACUUGGGUUCGGAAUAACUCCCCGAAAGGGAUGCUCAUACCGGAUAAUGUCUUAGGACAUAAGAUUUAUCGCGUUUGGAUGGGCGCGCGUUGGAUUAGCUAGUUGGUAGGGUAAAAGCAUACUAAGGCGAGGUUGCAUAGCUGGUCUGGGAGGAUGAUCAGCCAGGCUGGGGCUGAGGCACGGCCGAGAAUCGUACGCAAGGGAGCAGAGGAGAAUAUAGUAGGAGGGAGGAAGACCUAAUCCAGCAAUGCGGGGGAAGAGAUGAAGGCCUUAGGGUAGUAAUGCUCUUUUACCCGAGAUGUUAAUGACGGUACCGGGUAAAUAAGCUCCGGCUAACUCCGUG